UACGUAGGGUGCAAGCGUUGUCCGGAAUUAUUGGGCGUAAAGAGCUCGUAGGCGGUCUGUCGCGUCGGCUGUGAAAACUCAGGGCUUAACCCUGAGCUUGCAGUGGGUACGGGCAGACUAGAGUGCGGUAGGGGAGACUGGAAUUCCUGGUGUAGCGGUGAAAUGCGCAGAUAUCAGGAGGAACACCGGUGGCGAAGGCGGGUCUCUGGGCCGUAACUGACGCUGAGGAGCGCAAGCAUGGUGAGCGAACAGG
rnacentral:rRNA from 1 species